rnacentral:rRNA from 1 species
UCGAAAGCCUGUCCCAGUUCGGACUGGAGUCUGCAACCCGACUCCACGAAGUUGGAUUCGCUAGUAAUCGCGCAUCAGCCAUGGCGCGGUGAAUACGUUCCCGGGCCUUGUACACACCGCCCGUCAAGCCAUGGGAGCCGGGGCGCCUGAAGUCCGGGACCGCGAGGACCGGCCUAGGGCGAAACUGGUAACUGGGGCUAAGUCGUAACAAGGUACC